GAUGAACGCUGGCGGCGUGCCUAAUACAUGCAAGUCGAGCGAACAGACGAGGAGCUUGCUCCUCUGACGUUAGCGGCGGACGGGUGAGUAACACGUGGAUAACCUACCUAUAAGACUGGGAUAACUUCGGGAAACCGGAGCUAAUACCGGAUAACAUGUUGAACCGCAUGGUUCAACAGUGAAAGACGGUCUUGCUGUCACUUAUAGAUGGAUCCGCGCCGCAUUAGCUAGUUGGUAAGGUAACGGCUUACCAAGGCAACGAUGCGUAGCCGACCUGAGAGGGCGAUCGGCCACACUGGAACUGAGACACGGUCCAGACUCCUACGGGAGGCAGCAGUAGGGAAUCUUCCGCAAUGGGCGAAAGCCUGACGGAGCAACGCCGCGUGAGUGAAGAAGGUCUUCGGAUCGUAAAACUCUGUUAUUAGGGAAGAACAAAUGUGUAAGUAACUAUGCACGUCUUGACGGUACCUAAUCAGAAAGCCACGGCUAACUACGUG
rnacentral:rRNA from 1 species